rnacentral:rRNA from 1 species
AGAGUUUGAUCAUGGCUCAGAACGAACGCUGGCGGCGUGCCUAACACAUGCAAGUCGUGCGGGAAAGUGGGGGCAACUCCAUGAGUAGAGCGGCGCACGGGUGAGUAACACGUAGGUAACCUGCCUUCGGGACUGGGAUAACCUGUCGAAAGACGGGCUAAUACCAGAUAAGACCACAGGGGCUCUGGCCCCAGGGGUAAAAGGUGGCCUCUGCUUGCAAGCUACCACUCGAAGAUGGGCCUGCGCGCCAUUAGCUUGUUGGUGAGGUAACGGCUCACCAAGGCAAAGAUGGCUAGCUGGUCUGAGAGGAUGGCCAGCCACACUGGGACUGAGACACGGCCCAGACUCCUACGGGAGGCAGCAGUGGGGAAUAUUGCGCAAUGGGCGAAAGCCUGACGCAGCGACGCCGCGUGGGUGAUGAAGGCCUUCGGGUCGUAAAGCCCUGUCGGGAGGGACGAAACCUCGGUGACCUAAUACGUCAUCGACCUGACGGUACCUCCAAAGGAAGCACCGGCUAACUCCGUGCCAGCAGCCGCGGUAAUACGGAGGGUGCAAGCGUUGUUCGGAAUCACUGGGCGUAAAGCGCGUGUAGGCGGCCUCUUAAGUCUGAUGUGAAAGCCCGGGGCUUACCCCCGGAAGUGCAUUGGAGACUGGGAGGCUCGAGUACCGGAGAGGAGGGUGGAAUUCCUGGUGUAGCGGUGAAAUGCGUAGAUAUCAGGAGGAACACCGGUGGCGAAGGC